rnacentral:tRNA from 1 species
UCCCAGAUCGUAUAGUGGUCAGUAUUUCUGCUUGUCAUUGCUUUGAAAAGCGGAAUUCGCAGGAGACCUGGGUUCAAUUCCCAGUCUGGGAG